GCUUUCGUAGUGUAAUGGCCAGCACACUCGGCGCAUAUUCGAGAGGCCCGAGGUUCGAGUCCCAGCGAGGACA
rnacentral:tRNA from 1 species